CUUUAUGGCGAUCUGUAUGGGCAACCUUCGGGUUGGCCGUUAGUUCCUGCGGUAUUCCUACCCCGUACAGAUCGCCCCCCUA
rnacentral:antisense_RNA from 1 species